GACGAACGCUGGCGGCGUGCCUAAUACAUGCAAGUAGAACGCACAGUUUAUACCGUAGCUUGCUACACCAUAGACUGUGAGUUGCGAACAGGUGAGUAACGCGUAGGUAACCUGCCUGGUAGCGGGGGAUAACUAUUGGAAACGAUAGCUAAUACCGCAUAAUAUUAAUUAUUGCAUGAUAAUUGAUUGAAAGAUGCAACUGCAUCACUACCAGAUGGACCUGCGUUGUAUUAGCUAGUAGGUGAGGUAACGGCUCACCUAGGCGACGAUACAUAGCCGACCUGAGAGGGUGAUCGGCCACACUGGGACUGAGACACGGCCCAGACUCCUACGGGAGGCAGCAGUAGGGAAUCUUCGGCAAUGGACGAAAGUCUGACCGAGCAACGCCGCGUGAGUGAAGAAGGGUUUCGGAUCGUAAAGCUCUGUUGUAAGAGAAGAACGGGUGUGAGAGUGGAAAGUUCACACUGUGACGGUAUCUUACCAGAAAGGGACGGCUAACUACGUG
rnacentral:rRNA from 1 species